CUCUGAGUCAGACAACAGAGACAGGAGAGAAUUUGAGCUCCGGAGUUUAAUGCCAAGUGGCGCCCACUGAGAAGACCCAACACUGAGGCUGGCAGCUGCUGCAGCGACGAAGAAAAAAGAUGCCGAAUGAAAGCAAGAGAAGGUUGGACGCCGAGCGAGGGACUGUGAGGGGGGGAAAGGGUAGGGAGGAAGAAGAGGAGCAGGAGGAGGAGGUCAGUGCGGGGUAUCCCAGCAGAUGCGACGGAAUGGUGGUGAGGAUGAAAAGCGGGAGAGCCGGGCGACGCCGCAGGUGCGACGAGGCCAACGGCGGGAUGAGCUGCCACGGCGGCCAUGCUAAAAUAUAAGCGGGCUGGAUGGAGGAAAGGAUGGAGGAGAGGAUGGCGGGGUGUAAGAACCCUACGUGGAGGUUGAGAGAAAGUGACGAUGACGAUGAUGAUGUUUUAGGUGAAGGUGAAGAUGCGGCAGAUGGACACCCGAGAAACAAAAGUCAAGCAACGGCACUUACGAGACCCUCUCCUGUCAUCCUCGUCGCCGCUGUGGUCCAGCAUCUCCACGCUACCCGCCCUUCUCAGGGAGUACAGCAGGACGUUAUCUAACGGGUUUUCCCGGUCCUGGGAGAACCAGAACAAUAGCCCAAGUCUCAUUUAAAUAAACAAUCACGAGAGUUUUCACUUGUAAAAUAGGAGCUGUCUUGCUGUCCCUCACCAGUCUGUCAAUGACGUUCUGGAUAGUGUGGUACCAUUCCUUGAUCAGAGAGUCCGUCUCCGACUGUAGCAGGAAUUCGUUGCCCGUCACGGUCCUUAGCUGGAACACACACAUUUGCAAACACAAUGUAGUACUUUUUGUGCAUGCAUGUGUGUGUGUGUGCAUGCUUGUGUGUGCGAAAAAGGAAUAUUUAUAGUCCUCCCUAUUUGUUGCUGACCUUGAACACGUUCUUCUUGCUGGACAGCUCAUUGGCCCAGUGUAGUUUGGCUCCUCUUAGGUCAACGCUACUUUCCGGGCGACUGUUUCCUGGUUUCUAUAAUAAUCAUCAAAGAUCAUUAUUUAAUAUUCUGCAAUAUUUUUUUUUUUUUGUAUAGCAGAAAGAAAAUAUGAGUAUUGUCUGUCUACAUGGGUUACUCCACCAUUUGUGCUCAAGUAUGCAUAUCUUCAAAAUUGCUAACCAUUAACAUGUAAGCUAAAUGGCAUUUUAUGUUGUCUGUUAGCAAUAAUUAAAAGUCUUUUUGUCAGGUCUUACCCAGCUGGAAGGCGUCUGCGAUUUGGGAUCUUUGAAGAAAACCAAACUGUUGCCGACCAACACCACCCAGGAUGGACUCCAGUUUUUUCUACAUCACAAGAUUAUUUGUUUAUUAAAAUGGUGAUGGCUAAUACUAAAACAAUGAGAUAGAUGAUCGUUUGAAA